rnacentral:lncRNA from 1 species
UGAGUGAAGAAACAUGCUGGGAGCAGUGGUUUGCCCCAGUGAGCUCAGCCUGAUGUGCCAGGCAGUCGGUGUGCCCGGAAGGCACAGUGCCCUGCUCUGGCUCUGGAACGUAGUCCUAGUUGUGCUCUGUGCCAAGCUAAGCAUGACUGGAGAAGGCAUAGACUGGAAGAGACACGCUUCCAAGGAACCUGUGAGUCAAGAUGGGCCAACUGUUCCGCUCCUGCGAGCGGCACGGCGGCGUGUUCGUGUGGCCUCCUGUGGGGAGCACACUGCCUGCUUCGUGGAGCUGGGUGAGAGGAGGCUCUGGGAGGGGGUCGCAGGGGAGAUGUUGACUUCCCAAGGUUGUUGUUGCCCUGCUGUGAGCUUGGUUCAGGUCCUCCCAGAGCUGGGGUUUUGGAUGAGCCAGCACAGGCUGUGGUUGGCCAUACGCCUGGGUUCAGGAGGCUCUGGUGGCCAUCCUUAGGUUGUACGAUGAGAAAAUGCUGCCAUGGCAAACUGUCCUGGCCUGAAAAUUGAGGCUUAGUUGUCAGCUCUGAGCAAACGAGGCUGUCAUACUGUAAUUGGAACAGCCUGCUUGGGGACUGAAGCCCACACAGCGUCCGUUCCCACUGGAGCAUUUGCAGCCAUUGGACUUGAGACAGAAAUUAAUUCUGGUGCGUCUGCAGCCACUGCUCGGCAGAAUGAACAAGACAAAUGCAGCACUCCCUUGAGCCUUGCCUGGAUCAGCCUGGCCCAUCUCUUCCUGGUCUGACUUCGGAAGCUGUCAUGUGUUGGUUGAGCAAAUGAAACCUCUGAGAAAAGGUAAAACUUCUCACCUAAGCAGGGAUGACCGAUUGUUACUACUACAUGGAGUGCCUACAGAGGAGGUCAGAAUGUGAUGGGUUUUGCCACGGUCUUUAGAAUACUUUGAUACCAAACUGUAGCGGUACCUUGCUCCUCUGAGCACUGGCUGAAAGCCCCCUGAAGCCUCUUCAGGGUUGCUGGAUCAAAUACCUGGUUGUUUUUCUUGUAUUGGGUCCAAAAGUACCUUAAAGAGGAAGGCAGGUAUUCUGCAGGCAGACGCAUCGGUGAAGUGGCUUGUCUAAAAAUACCCAAGAGAAGGGCCAAGGCUAGAACUUGGUAGAAAACUUGGAACCAAGGAACUCCAGCAGUCUGUCAUAAGAGUAGUUACUCUUAUCUCACAUGCACAAAGAACAGCACAACCCCUUUUUAAUGUAUGAACACCCAGAUAAAAUUCAGUUAUUCCUUUGGCAUCCAUCAGACCAUUGCUAUUGCCCAUCUUGUUGUAAAGGGAUGAACGUGUAAACCCUUAUACGCAGGAGAAAGAGACCUCAGUUGUUUAUUAUAUCUGGAAACAAUCAAGCUCUUGAGUUUUUUUUCAGCUGAAACAGAAGACUGAAAGUAACUUUUUUACUCAUUCCUUGAGGAAAAUGCAUUCAGUAAUCCCUUUUCUUUGGGCCACA